AUGGCCUUAUCAUGUUGAAACACCGGUUCCCAUACACUCACCGAAGUUAAGCAAUGUCAAGCUUGGUUAGUAUCUAGAUGGGUGACUGCUUGGGAAUGCCAGGUGCUGUAAG